UUCUUCACACAAUGAAUCAAUUAAUAAUUCACUCAAAUGAACUAUGUCAGCUUACCGAGCAAAAACAAAGUAGCUACUGACAAUAUUUAGUCUAAAAAGUAAAAAUACUCAGUUAAAACUUUUUGUUAACUAAACCAUUGUAUAAAAUCACAUUCAUGCUGUUGAUCUAAUAUUCAGAAGAAACAGCACUCUUGCAUGUGCGAUGUAGCUUUAUAUCAAUAAAGGAUAAUAUUAACAAGUGAAUUCAUUAAAUAUUUUAUUAAGUUUCAGUGAAACAGCAAAAUAAACCAACUUAAACUUGUUGAUAUUCUCCUGUAUUUGCAUAGAGAGUGUGUUUUACAUGAGCGACACACACUUCAGUGCUCUGUGUGUGUUUAUAACUCUGACAAACAUCAAACAUGAUCAACAACUGUUUCUCACUAGAACUGAACCUACAACCAACAGAAAUGACUUUCAUCACCAUAUUGAUCUGGACUCUGACUGUAUUAUGUAGAGAAUCUAUUGGGCAGGUGACAGUGACUCAAACUCCCUCAGUGCUGCUCGCUCAAACUGGACAAUCAGUCACUGUGACCUGUAAAUCCAGCAGUGAUCCUACCUGCUGUUGUAGUGGAAAACAGUGUCUCAGCUGGUACUUACAGAAACCUGGAGAAGCUCCUAAACUCCUGAUUUAUGGAACAAGCAGCCGUCAGUCAGGAACUCCAUCUAGAUUCAGUGGCAGUGGAUCUAACAGUGAUUUCACUCUGACCAUCAGUGGAGUCCAGACUGAAGAUGCUGGACAUUAUUACUGUCAGAGUUACCACAGUAGUAAUGUGUUCACACAGUGAUUGUGAGUUGUACAA